UACAGGGGGUGCAAACGUUGCUCGGAAUCAUUGGGCGUAAAGCGCACGUAGGCGGUUCGUUAUGUCGGAUGUGAAAGCCCUUGGCUUAACCGAGGAAGUGCAUCCGAAACUGGCGAGCUAGAGUACGAAAGAGGAUCGCGGAAUUCCCGGUGUAGAGGUGAAAUUCGUAGAUAUCGGGAGGAACACCGGUGGCGAAGGCGGCGAUCUGGGUCGAUACUGACGCUGAGGUGCGAAAGCUAGGGGAGCAAACAGG
rnacentral:rRNA from 1 species